rnacentral:rRNA from 1 species
UACGUAGGGUGCGAGCGUUAAUCGGAAUUACUGGGCGUAAAGCGUGCGCAGGCGGUUCUCCAAGUCCGUUGUGAAAGCCCCGGGCUCAACCUGGGAAUGGCAGUGGAAACUAGGGGACUGGAAUCUGGCAGAGGGGGGUGGAAUGCCGCGGUGUAGCAGGUGAAAUGCGUAGAGAUGCGGCGGAACACCGAUGGCGAAGGCAGCCCCCUGGGCUGAGAUUGACGCUCAGGCACGAAAGCGUGGGGAGCAAACAGG